CGAACAGUAAAGACGAGAAAACUCCAAAGUGAAUUUUAAAAGUGAUUUAAACCUAAUUAAAAGUAAAUCUAUUUUCACAGUUUUCUAAAGUGGUUAAAAUUGCCCUAAAAGUCGUGAGUCGUGUUUCCAAGGAAUUCCUUAAACAGGAAGUGAGUCGUGAGUCGGAAUAAACGCUUUAUUACCAAAGAAUUGUAUAAAAAAAAAAACGUGAGUCUCUAGCUGUGACCACGUUUGAGCAUUGGGUGUCGGUGGUGAGUUUGUGGAGGUUAGGACCGCUGGUCCUCUCGGAGCACCGGCAAGCGAUCUAUAUGCCGGCUCCCUGUGUCUAGCCAAAAGGUUUAUUACGUUGUGCUAUCGAUUAGACUGUGGGCGAUCCCCUGUGUAUGUUCUUCGCCUCGUGGCUGCGGCCACUAAGAGCAUAUGCAGAGAGCGUGGUCAUCGAAUGAAUAGUGUUGGCCUCGUAAGAACCACCCGUUACCCAAGUGGUCCCCGAAAUCUGCGAGAGAUUCUGCAUGGGGAAAGCUUGCCACAGCCAGUGUGUAUCGCCCUGACUCACGCCCCGGGAUAGAAGAAUCAGAUCUAAUCGCACUUCGACUCACUUCCCCGCAUAAACCCCACUGGCUCCAUCAUCGGUACGUCGGACCAAGAACUCUGUGCCGACGAACACAUCAAUCGACGCACCUGUGCGGCCAGUACAACCGACCGCCAACCGUCGUCCUCUCCAUAACGUGCUAGACGUCGAUCUCUCCCGCCAUCCGCAAGCCGGCGGCGACGCAAUAACCGAUCCCUAGACGGGUCGACUCGCCUUCGACGGUGCAAUCUCAGCGAAAACCCGAUCGGCACAUGGACGCACCUGCUACCUAGCCAGUGGUCAGCACAGACAAGCUCAACAGUUGUAAGUACCCGAAACAGCACUCUAUUGCACCUACACGAUCAAGCACCCUCGCCACUAUCGUUAAAACCGAUCAUUGUAAAUAGAAAUUAAGAGCAAAAAGUAGCAUGCAAAAAUAACUAACGACUCACAGAGCUCAAAUAGAACACACAUGUACAAGUGACGUCACAUUAGGCAAAAUUUAGAAUUUUGAAUGCAGUCAGACUGCCUUGAAGUAUGUCGUACCAAAUUAGCAUCUUUGCCGGUAAUAAACCAUGUUUUUUUUAAACCUGAAAGUAGCCUUGAACACAAAUUACCAACCCUAGAAAUUAAAUAACCGUUUUCAUGAAACAUUUUCUUUUAAUGGGUUCAUUACACUAGAAAAAUAAAUUUUUUGAAUAAAUCUAAUGUGCAUCAGACUUAAACUAAAGGAUUUUGGAAUUUUUAUUAAUUGAAUUUGGGAAAGAUAAUCUAGUUUGGGUGGGAAUUUGGUUUUGUUGGAACGUGUCGAUUAUCAGUAGGAUCCGUAAGAGGAAAUAAUUUAGCUAGCUGGGCAAUUUGACCAGAAACUCUGGCAGACGGCUUCCACCGUCUGGCGCAUAAGCCAGGUUUUAGGAAACCCCUUACGAACCCUCUUACAAAUGGCGCCCAACGUGGGGCCAUUCCCAAGAGCCAAGAAAACAGGAAAUACCUGUCUUCUAGUAAUUGUUGAUAUUUUUACUAAGUUUGUAAUAAUACAACCUUUAAAAGAGGCAAAAACAAAACAACUAGUGUUCUUCCUCGAAAACAUGGUUUUCCUCUUAUUUGGAGUUCCCGAGGUUAUUUUAUCAGACAAUGGCGCUCAAUUUAGCGCUAAAGAAUACAAAGCUUUACUUGAAAAAUAUGGAAUUAGUCAAUGGAUGACACCAGUAUAUUUUCCCCAAGUUAAUAAUGCGGAAAGGACAAAUCGGGUUAUAACUUCGGCUAUACGGUCAUUGAUACAAAAAGAGCAAGAUCAUUGGGAUGAAAAUAUUUAUAAAAUUGCUAACGCAAUCAACAAUGCUUCACACGCAUCAAGUGGGUUUUCUCCUUAUUUUGUCAAUUUCGGUAGAAAUCAGAUCAGUUCUGGGGAGGAAUAUCAGCAUUUAAGGGACACCAAUAAUGGUGUUACGCCAACAGAAAAAGAACAUUCUGAAAAAAUGGCAAACAUUUACGAAAACGUUAGAAGGAAUUUGAAAAUAGCUUAUGACAAAUAUUCUAAAUAUUACAACCUCAGAUCUGGGAAAAUAUUUGAAUUCGAAGAAGGUGAAAAAAUUCUAAAAAAGAAUCACCUUCUGUCCGACAAGUCGAAAGCUUUCAAUGCUAAAUUGGCCCCCAAAUUUUCGGAAGCAAUCAUCAAAAGAAAAGUUGGAGAGGUGUGCUAUAUUUUGCAAGAUAUGAAUGGAAAAUCACUAGGACUGUACCACGUAUCCCAACUGAAAAAGUUGUAAAUAAGAAUAAGUAAACAAGCUAUGAAAAAACAAAAUACUAAGCCAUGAGAAUUAAAAUCUCGGCACAAAAAUACGUUUAAUCGGGAAAUGAAAGAAAAUAAGAAGAAAAUGGAAACAUGAAAAAUUUAGUGAAUAAUUAUAAAGAAUACCACAAGCUAUGAAAAAAAUACAAAGCAGACAAAAUGCAACUCUCACAUAAAAUAUGUGACAUAGGAACUAAAGAAAAAAAAAAUGAAAUAAUAAAAAUAAUAAAAAUACAAUGACAUAAAAUAAGAACAUAAAUAAAAAAAAUCAAAUGGAGUAAUUACAAAGCUAUGUACAAAAACUACUACUGCUAUGAUGCAUAACAAGAAUUAAUUGAAUUGGAAAUUAGAAGAAGUUUAGAAAGCUAUGUAAAUAAACAAAGAAAACUAUUCUCUAAUAGCCAAGAAAACACGAACAAUCGGAAUCAGAAAAAUUAGAAGUGAAUCGGUUUAGUCAAGGCAAUGGUUCCCAAUCAAAAAACUGAAAGAGAAUAAGAAUAUCUACUUACCAAAAAUCACAAAAUUUUCAUACAUUGGAAACCAAACUUUGGCGUAAAAUGAUUCCUCGACAAUAUUUGUGCUAAAAGAAAACAAGUUGUAAAUAUGUAAAUAAAAUUGUUGCUAUGACCAAUGGACUAUAUUGAAGGCUUUGCGUCUUUUAAAGAAAAGAUUACAAAGUAUGUCAGAUUUUUCGGUUGACUCAGUAAAGAUUCGAUCGAAUCUAGACACAGAGAUCAACCAAUGUAUAAUAAAAAAGUAGAAGAUGAGGCUUGAAAUAUAUGGAAUUGAAGGUUUGAAUUCAUAGAUGCAACUAGAAUGAAAUGGAAUUCGAUUAGAAUAUUUAAAUCUGUAAAUAGGAUACUUACAUUUUUGGUGAAGCAGAUAAAUUUCCACAUCCAAAAUACAUCAUACAAGGUCAAUAACCCAGAUCAUACAUGUAGUUCACCUGCACAAUAGACAGCAGUACGGACUGCUUGCAUUGACAUACCGAUACCGACUAUAACGUUCAGAAGUUCAAUAGACGCAAUAAUCAAGACUCACAAAUGUAAUAAAAUUAACCCGAGAGAGAUGUAGAUUAUACAGGGAGUAGGAGAGUAGGGUGAUAUUUAAUACUUCAAGAGAAGAUUUUCGUAUCCGUAUCAUAAUAUGGUAUAUAGAUUUGGGAAUUGGUAGAUACAUUUUUCUAAUCACCAAUACGAAUAAUGAUGAGAUUCAUCCGUUUUUGAGCUGAUUUAGAUAUGUACAGAUAUCGUUCGGUUUUCCAGUAAAUGUAUUGGAGUAAACUAUUUGAUUGCGAAAGUUUCCAAUAAAUAUAUUGGAGUCAAAAGUGUUAGCCUCAGUUAGUAUCGAAUAAAUGAUCCUGAAAGCAUGGAUCUCGGGUCCGUUCCAAGAAAUUUCCGUUUAAUAAGUUUAAGAAUAUCGGUUCGGUUUUGCAUAGUUAAGAAUUUCGGAUGAUAGUUAGUUUAGUGGAAGAUAGUUUAAGUGUUAAUUAUGAUAAUGAAAAAAAUUGUUGCACAAUUUUUGGGGAAAGUGGGGGAUGAUGAAACAGACUUGCAGUAGUUUCAUGGACAUCCCGAGUUUUAAAAUGAAUUUGCGCCUGGUUGGCAGACUACCAUAGAAUAAGUGCUCGAAUCAUUUUGCAGUGGGAAUUAAGUGGGGAUGGGUAUAGCGUAGUUUAUGAUGAAACUGGUAGCUUAUCAGCUAUUUUCACAGUUUUCUAAAGUGGUUAAAAUUGCCCUAAAAGUCGUGAGUCGUGUUUCCAAGGAAUUCCUUAAACAGUAAGAUUAAGUGACAAGUAAAGUAGAAUGGUUUUUAAUCAGUCUUAAUUA